CUCCCCUCUCCCCAAUCAAAAUCGGAAAAAGCGCGGGCUUUUCCUCGCAUUAAGGAUCUCUCUCUUCCUUUCAUUUUCUUUGAAUUUUCUGUAAAAUCUAAAAAAAAAAUAAGAUCUUAAAUUCACAAAAGGGAUUGCAGAAUUCCAGAUAGAAAAAAAAAAAAUCCCGUUUUCCUCUUCUAUGAAGAAAAUAAAUACGUAAAACAGGAAUUUUUCUUUUUUCUCCCCUUUUCUCCUUUUUCCUAGGGUUUUGAGCUGUGAAGAAUCGAAAUCUGUCAAAUCUAUUUUCUUUCUUUUUUGUUUUUUUUCCCUCUGAGAAGCGAUGAAGUUUGGAGAGACUUUCACGGAGUAUCUCCACGGAGAUCAGGAGCGGUUUCUUGAUAAAUGCUCGCACGUCCCAUACAAGCGGCUGAAGAAGGUUCUCAAGAGCUGUCGGAUCUGCCGCGCGUCAGCAUCUUCGUCUGCAGCGCAGGACGUGGACGAAGAGAAGAGUGGCGGUGAAUUGUCGCACUGCCGGUGUGAAUCUUGUCCACUGUGUGAUCAGAUGUUCUUUUCUGAAUUGACAAAGGAGGCUUCUGCAAUAGCUGGCUGUUUUAGUUCAAGAGUAAGGCACCUCCUACAUCUUCACGUGUCCACUGGAUUGUUGAGAUACAUGUGGCGCCUGCGACAUUGUUUCACGGAUGAUCAGCAAACCAUGGUCAAAGAAGGGCAGUUAUUAAUUGAAUAUGUUACAAUGAACGCCAUUGCCAUACGGAAAAUUCUAAAGAAAUAUGAUAAAGUGCAUUGUUCUGUAAAUGGCAGAAAUUUCAAGACCAAGAUGCAGGCGAAACACAUAGAACUUUUGCAGUCACCUUGGCUUAUAGAACUGGGCGCAUUCUAUCUAAAUUGCCGUGGGUCAGAUGAUGGAGAAUCUGGGCAGUUCUUCAGUAAAUUCUCUUGUGAUCUCAGUGAUACUCGAUCCGUAAUGACAUUGACACUUUCAGACUCUGUUAAGCUUGAGUACAGUCUGACCUGUGCUAUUUGCUUGGACAUUGUUUUCAAUCCUUAUGCUCUGAGCUGUGGUCAUCUUUUCUGUAAAGGCUGUGUUUGUUCUGCAGCUUCUGUUCUACUUUUCGAAGGCCUUAAGGCUGCACAUCCAGAAUCAAAGUGUCCUAUUUGUAGAGCGGUUGGAGUAUAUGCUGAUUCAGUACACAUGACAGAACUGGAUUUGCUCUUGAAGAAUAGAUGCAAAGCUUACUGGAAAGAGAGGAUGCGAAGUGAGCGGGCCGAGAUGGUGAAGCAAUCUAAAAUGUAUUGGGAUUCCCAGACGAAAUUCGCAAUUGGGUACUAGCAUCAGCGGCUUUUUUCUUUUGGUUCUUGAGAAGUGAAAGCUGCAAAGAGAAGGGGCUAUGCUAGUAGAAGAUGACAUGGGUCUUGAUGACCUUUUCAUAUUUUGAGGAGGCAAGCUGUGCUCUGUCAAGUGGGCCCCAAAAUUCAGGUGAGCCUCUAUGGGGGAUGAUGAGUUGCCAUAUUUUAUAAAGUUGUAGUGAAAAAUGCAUAGUCAUGUCAUGUAUUAUGGUGAAAAAUUAUGUGAAGUUGAUCAUACCCAUACAUCUGACUGUUCACAUGGAAAACAGUUAUGUCAGUUCAAAUUGUUAGCCCUGCUGUGGAUGGAGAAUAGCCUGAAAAUUGGGCUUUGUGGAUAUUGAAUUUCAAGAAAUCCCUGUUUGCCCUUCGAAA